GGUUAAGUGACUAAGCGUACACGGUGGAUGCCUUGGCAGUCAGAGGCGAUGAAGGACGUAUUAACUUGCGAUAAGCCCAGAUUAGGUAGUAAAAACCAUUUGAGUCUGCGAUUUCCGAAUGGGGGAACCC
rnacentral:rRNA from 1 species